rnacentral:tRNA from 1 species
ACUCUCGUGGCGAAAUUGGUAAACGCGGUGGAUUGAGAGUCCAUAGCCUUACGGCUUCCCAGUUCGAGUCUGGGCGAGAGUACCA